rnacentral:rRNA from 1 species
UACGUAGGGGGCAAGCGUUUGUCCGGAAUCAUUGGGCGUAAAGAGCGUGUAGGCGGCCCGGUAAGUCCGUUGUGAAAGUCCAGGGCUCAACCCUGGAAUGCCGAUGGAUACUGCCGGGCUAGAGUUCGGAAGAGGCGAGUGGAAUUCCUGGUGUAGCGGUGGAAUGCGCAGAUAUCAGGAGGAACACCUAUAGCGAAGGCAGCUCGCUGGGACGACACUGACGCUGAGACGCGAAAGCGUGGGGAGCGAACAGG